rnacentral:rRNA from 1 species
UCGAGCGGUAGAGAGAGCUUGCUUCUCUUGAGAGCGGCGGACGGGUGAGUAAUGCCUAGGAAUCUGCCUGGUAGUGGGGGAUAACGUUCGGAAACGGACGCUAAUACCGCAUACGUCCUACGGGAGAAAGCAGGGGACCUUCGGGCCUUGCGCUAUCAGAUGAGCCUAGGUCGGAUUAGCUAGUUGGUGAGGUAAUGGCUCACCAAGGCGACGAUCCGUAACUGGUCUGAGAGGAUGAUCAGUCACACUGGAACUGAGACACGGUCCAGACUCCUACGGGAGGCAGCAGUGGGGAAUAUUGGACAAUGGGCGAAAGCCUGAUCCAGCCAUGCCGCGUGUGUGAAGAAGGUCUUCGGAUUGUAAAGCACUUUAAGUUGGGAGGAAGGGCAUUAACCUAAUACGUUAGUGUUUUGACGUUACCGACAGAAUAAGCACCGGCUAACUCUGUGCCAGCAGCCGCGGUAAUACAGAGGGUGCAAGCGUUAAUCGGAAUUACUGGGCGUAAAGCGCGCGUAGGUGGUUUGUUAAGUUGGAUGUGAAAUCCCCGGGCUCAACCUGGGAACUGCAUUCAAAACUGACUGACUAGAGUAUGGUAGAGGGUGGUGGAAUUUCCUGUGUAGCGGUGAAAUGCGUAGAUAUAGGAAGGAACACCAGUGGCGAAGGCGACCACCUGGACUAAUACUGACACUGAGGUGCGAAAGCGUGGGGAGCAAACAGGAUUA